AUUCUAGAUUGAAAAGUUAGGGUUUUUUAUUUGGGGCUUUGAUUUGUAGAUUCUUUUAUAUGCAUUGUUGUCUUUGAGUUUCAUAGUGGUUCUCUCUUAAAGAUAUAGAUGGAUUUCAUAGUUGAUUUGGGACUUGAUUUGUAGAAACCAAAAAUUCCCCAAUUUUAACUAUUUCAAAGUUUUCUUUUAUCCAUUUGGGUUGAGUCUGGCAACUAUUUGCGAUAUACCAAUCAGAGAAAACUGUUUCAAGGUUUUCUUUUAUCCAUUUGGGUUGAGUCUGGCAACCAUUUGAGAUAUACCAAUCAGAGAAUUAAUAGCUCACAAUAACAAUCUGAGUUUUUGUCACAAA